UUCGUGCGGCACGCUUAUGUGGCGAGUUCCACUUCAUCCGUGUGAGAAGUUGAUAACGCAACGAAGGCAGAAUCGCGUCAAACUUCUCCUCGCGAUUCUUCACCACGAAACCUAGCCACUCCUCCCUCUCCGAAUCGUCGAACGCGCCUUCCUCUCUGAAUCGCCAAAGCGCCCCCCUCCUUCGCCCCCCUCGCGGCAAAUGCGCCCUGAAGCUACGAGACCGGACCUACGACUCUCUCUCGCAUCGAGCCCUCUUAUACCGCGAGCUCUCCCUCGCCGCGAGCUUUCCCUUGCCGCAAGCCCUCUCUUGACCAGCAAGCUCUCCCUCUCCGCGAGCCCUCUCCUUCCUAUGUCUCACCACUCACUGACGAACUAGGGCAUCAUUAUCCGCUCCUCUCAUUUAGUGCUGCAGGAAGUUCAUUUGGAUCAUACUUUCUUCUCUGGUUCAUUUAGAGCAGCAUUGCCCAAGCCUAGCCUCAGGUGUCUUGUGUCGCUACCGUGGAGGUACAAGGUGUUGGUUCCAUGGCCCAAGAGCAGAGACAUGGUGAGAUUGAUUCUUGGUUUCUCGUUGCUUCCGAUUCCCGUGUUGACUCGUACUGAUCUGAAAAGGAGGAACGUGCUACCACUUUGAGAAGAAUAUGUCAACAGAUUUGGUAUGAUAAUGUUCCUCGCACCAAACUCGUUGAAUAUAAGAAAGACCAAAACUGAGUACGGAGGUGUUUACUUGGUUUUCCUUCUUAGUGGAACUCAAUUUAAAGAUGGUGUUUCUAAAUACAUCGAGUUCAUCGAGCAAGUGGGAAGCCACUGGAGCUCAAUAGGAUUCUUAGACCUGGAGGUUUCUUUGUUUGGUCUACAACACAUGUUUACCGCUAAUGAGAGGGACCAAAGCAUCUGGAAGUGUAGUGACAUUUGUCAAUUUCUUUAAAUUUCAUGACCUCCUUUGUCAUCAGCAAGACUACGUGGCUUUCGGGAGCUAUACUAUCUUAAAUUUUUAUCUAGUACCUUUUUAAAUUUUUGUCUGGAUCUGCUACUGAUAUUGACUGACGCAAACUUGGUUUGUAAAUGGUUAAAUGUUGUAAUUCUAGAUGUAAACUUGGUUUGUUAAUUUAUAUCAUUAAACACUAUUGAAUAAUGUUGGUGUUGUAAUUGUGGUAUGAUAAUGUUGUUGUAGCUUUCAAUAUAUUUGAGGAUCUUGUCAGUUUGAUCCUCUUCAAUUUCAA